UCAACGAGUCGGGUUGUUUGGGAAUGCAGCCCAAAUCGGGCGGUAGACUCCGUCCAAGGCUAAAUACAUGCGAGAGACCGAUAGCGAACAAGUACCGCGAGGGAAAGAUGAAAAGGACUUUGAAAAGAGAGUCAAAGAGUGCUUGAAAUUGCCGGGAGGGAAGCGGAUGGGGGCCGGCGAUGCGCCCCGGCCGUAUGCGGAACGGCUCUUGCUGGUCCGCCGCUCGGCUCGGGGUGUGGACUGUUGUCGGCCGCGCCGGCGGCCAAAGCCCGGGGGCCCUAGGUGCCCCCGGUGGCCGUCGUCGGCACGGCCGGUACCCGCGCGCCUAAAGGCGUGUCCCUCGGGGCACUGCGCUGCAACGGCCUGCGGGCUCCCCAU
rnacentral:rRNA from 1 species